rnacentral:rRNA from 1 species
AGAAUCGACGCUGGCGGCGUGCCUAACACAUGCAAGUCGAACGCGAAAGUCCCGCAAGGGAUGAGUAGAGUGGCAAACGGGUGAGUGACACGUGGGUGACCUGCCUUCGAGCGGGGGAUAACGGUCCCGAAAGGGACGCUAAUACCGCAUGACAUCCUGCCUUUGAAGAGGUGGAGAUCAAAAGCUGGGGAUCGCAAGACCUAGCACUUGAAGAGGGGCCCGCGUCUGAUUAGCUAGUUGGUGGGGUAAACGCUCACCAAGGCAAACGAUCAGUA